GAUGAACGCUGGCGGCGUGCCUAAUACAUGCAAGUCGAGCGAACAGACGAGGAGCUUGCUCCUCUGACGUUAGCGGCGGACGGGUGAGUAACACGUGGAUAACCUACCUAUAAGACUGGGAUAACUUCGGGAAACCGGAGCUAAUACCGGAUAACAUGUUGAACCGCAUGGUUUAACAGUGAAAGACGGUCUUGCUGUCACUUAUAGAUGGAUCCGCGCCGCAUUAGCUAGUUGGUAAGGUAACGGCUUACCAAGGCAACGAUGCGUAGCCGACCUGAGAGGGUGAUCGGCCACACUGGAACUGAGACACGGUCCAGACUCCUACGGGAGGCAGCAGUAGGGAAUCUUCCGCAAUGGGCGAAAGCCUGACGGAGCAACGCCGCGUGAGUGAAGAAGGUCUUCGGAUCGUAAAACUCUGUUAUUAGGGAAGAACAAAUGUGUAAGUAACUAUGCACGUCUUGACGGUUCCUAAUCAGAAAGCCACGGCUAACUACGUG
rnacentral:rRNA from 1 species